UCCUGCGGGAGGCAGCUAAAUGUAAUUUUCCGCAGUGGGCGAAAGUCUGACGGAGGAUGCCGAACCAGAGAUGACUGCUAUGGGUUGCAAACCUCCUUUUUGAAGGACGAAUAGUUGACAUGAACCUGAAGAAUCGCCUUCCGCUAACUCCGGGCCAGCAUCCGCUUUAAAACUUAGGAUGCUCGUGUUUUCCGGAAUCACUGGGCGAAAACUCGUCGUUGCAGGCUUAAUAACUCAACUGUGACACCUUGAGGCCCCUUCUCGGACUCACAGUCAAAACUAUAAGACCAGAGGAUAACCCGGGUAAUGGCAAUUUCCCUUGAAGCCGUAAAAGUCCGCAGAGUAUCCAAG
rnacentral:rRNA from 1 species